AUAAAAUCUGUAUUACAUGGGUGCAGCUAGCUCUGGCGGGACACUCUAGUCAUGUGCCCCUAUCAGCUGACAGCUAACGCUGUCAAAUGAAACGCACGCCCACUGAUAGGCGGUCAAUUGAAGACCUUCCAUCUCAAACACAGUCUGCAAAGUUAACCACCACCCAUCUUUCACUUGCUUGUUCUGCUCUGUAUCACAUACUACCUCCACAAUGGGUUGAGAUAUCUGAUGUACACCAUGGGGGAUGUAUCGCGCUCCUUGUAGUCAUGUUUGCAUGCAGUUGGUAUUCAGUAUCUGACAUCUGUAUGUCAUGUUUUAAAUCCUACAGCAGGGAGCACCAGAAAAGGAUGGAACCAUACCGAUAAAACUAAAGUUAACCAUUACCUUGUGGCUGCCCCAAUCAGAGAGCUGCAUACCAUUCAGCCAAUGGCAGUGGGUGCUGAUUCUCCAUGGGGCGGUCAUGGACCACAGUCUACGGCAGGGUGGAUUGCUGUCAGGCCCUGUCCCCGUUCACGCUUUCCAGAUCAGCCAAUGGUCAGCUCACAGCCCAUGGUCCAGCUGACAUGGAACAUAUUUAGUCACAACCAAGAAAUGUUUGCGGUCCAAAAUAGCAGUUGGUUGGUGCCUGAUGGUUCGUCGUCUUGUUCUUUAUGUACAUUUAUGUUCACUUAAAUUAAAUCAAGUAAAUGCCUUUCUGUUGGAAGUCUGUUUCUGCAUUUCAGGUUCAGGAUAACUAUUCAAAAUCAUUAAA
ensembl:lncRNA